rnacentral:misc_RNA from 1 species
AAAAAAAGAAAAACAGAUUUGGGCAGAUUCUAAGGGUACGUGUCCCUCUUAAGGUCCACCACCACGACGCUCACGUUGUCCGUACUGUGCCUGGCCAACGCCAGCUUCGUCAGCAGCAUCGACGCAUCGUUGCAGGCCUUGUCUGCGCUCCCUCGCUCCUCCCCUUCCGCCGCCGUCUCCGCCUCCCCCGACGGUGACACCGGAGACCUCUCCUCCGUCUUCCCCCUAAGGCACAUGCU